GAUGAAGAACGCAGCGAAAUGCGAUAAGUAAUGUGAAUUGCAGAAUUCAGUGAAUCAUCGAAUCUUUGAACGCACAUUGCGCCCUCUGGUAUUCCGGGGGGCAUGCCUGUUCGAGCGUCAUUACAACCCUCAAGCUUUGCUUGGUAUUGGACAUUGCCAGUUUCUGGCAGGUCUUAAAAUCAGUGGCGGUGCCAUUUGGCUUCAAGCGUAGUAAUUCUUCUCGCUUUGGAGAUCCAGGUGGUUACUUGCCAAUAACCCCCAAUUUUUUCAGGUUGACCUCGGAUCAGGUAGGGAUACCCGCUGAACUUAAGCAUACAAUAAGCGGAGGA
rnacentral:misc_RNA from 1 species